rnacentral:rRNA from 1 species
AUUGAACGCUGGCGGCAGGCCUAACACAUGCAAGUCGAGCGGCAGCGGGAAAGUAGCUUGCUACUUUUGCCGGCGAGCGGCGGACGGGUGAGUAAUGCCUGGGAAAUUGCCCAGUCGAGGGGGAUAACAGUUGGAAACGACUGCUAAUACCGCAUACGCCCUACGGGGGAAAGCAGGGGACCUUCGGGCCUUGCGCGAUUGGAUAUGCCCAGGUGGGAUUAGCUAGUUGGUGAGGUAAUGGCUCACCAAGGCAACGAUCCCUAGCUGGUCUGAGAGGAUGAUCAGCCACACGGGAACUGAGACACGGUCCAGACUCCUACGGGAGGCAGCAGUGGGGAAUAUUGCACAAUGGGGGAAACCCUGAUGCAGCCAUGCCGCGUGUGUGAAGAAGGCCUUCGGGUUGUAAAGCACUUUCAGCGAGGAGGAAAGGUUGAUGCCUAAUACGUAUCAACUGUGACGUUACUCGCAGAAGAAGCACCGGCUAACUCCGUGCCAGCCGCCGCCGUAAUAC